GUUCCGGGUUAUAGCGGACGCAGUCUGUAUUUUAUCAUCUCACACCCAAACAAAUGAGAGAGUAACAUGUGAGAGACGAAACUGAUGUUGUGCCGCUUCACUUGACAGCGCGGGAAGGAUCACUGAAGAUCCAUCGAGAACAGAUAGGCUACUAAUAGCUGAAUGGAUGAACGUGCUUCAGUUGCGACAGCUACAACACCUGUGUUAUUUGACCUGCCCUCUGUCGCUGCUACCAAGGUGUGACCAUUUCCCAACUCAAGCAGCAAAUAUUUGCAGAAGCCUUUGGCAAAUUCUUCACAUGUGCAUGACACGGAGUUACUAGGGUCUGCACAGCUCCUGGCUUCCGUCCUUAGGAUGUCAGCCUCUGGCUGUGAAGAAUAUGGGGGAGGGAGAAGAGGGUUGCUGGGUACCCUGAGUACAUCAAACAUCUGUGUCCUUGGUCCGCAGAGCAACACCUUUCCACUUAUCUUCCUCAUAACAAAGCAAUGAAGUAGGCUGGGGUUUUCGGGCCAUUGAUGCAACGCUCCUGAAAAAGUGCAGUGCCUGUUCCCAGCUUAUUGGAUGCCGUGUCUCGUUACGUCCACAUGAAAUGUCCUAAGCGGAUGUCUCCCUGCCCCAUUUCUAUCUUUCUCAUUUCUUAUGAAGGAUCCUCCAGGAAACAAGAACAGCUCAAAGGGAGUGGUGCAGGGGUCAGAAUAUGCCCUUGCAAUAUUUUUUUUCUGCAGCAUGUAAUGUCAGCUUGUACAUUAACAAAAGAGUGCAACAGCGCAGUCAGAGGUGUUAUUGGGCAGAGUAUGAGCAGAGCGACAGGAGAGUCCUUACAAGAAAACAUAAUCAUUAAAAGUACUAUAAAAUAGUACUUCCGUUCAUGUCCAUAUGGGCCUAACAUAUUCAAAACCUUAUACUUAAAGGUGCUCUCAAUAUUAUUUUUAUUUUUUUUCCGUUUAUGUUGUCCUAGCAGUCAUCUUAUACUGACACCUAGUGGCAUGGAUGAAGCAUCAUGCAAAAGUUUGACUGAUUCCAUUGUAGAAAAGCGCUAUUAGAAGUGAGCCAUGAUUCAUUUAUUUGAAAGUGAAAGGGUCAGAUAAUAGUGGGAUUACCAAGAUAAAUUACAGAGUAUGCGGCUGGUCAUGUGAUCUUAACAUGUCCCAGUCCAUGUAAAAUAAAACGGCUUUUAUUAGGCUAUUGAUAUAACUGGAGUUGUCAGAGUCUGUCUCCCUAAUUUUCUUCAAGGACUCUUAUUUUGAAGUUUUCCCCUGCACUACAUCUCCCAGUAUCCACUGCCCUCAUCACUUCCAUCUGUUCCUUAUUAUCCUCACCUGUAUUCCAUUCCCUCAUUUAGUUCUUUGUGUAUAAAUACCCUCUAGUUUUGUUAAUUGAUUUGUCAGUCCUUGAAGUGUUACAUUGAGUUAUUGAAGUGUUACGUUGUGUAGUUGGUUUGUAAUGUUUAUUGUUUGU